rnacentral:tRNA from 14 species
UAUGCAAUGAACUUAAAAUUCAUUUAUAAAGAUUAAUCUUUUUUUAGA